rnacentral:rRNA from 1 species
AACGAACGCUGGCGGCAUGCCUAACACAUGCAAGUCGAACGAGACCUUCGGGUCUAGUGGCGCACGGGUGCGUAACGCGUGGGAACCUGCCCUUAGGUUCGGAAUAACUCCCCGAAAGGGGUGCUAAUACCGGAUAAUGUCUUCGGACCAAAGAUUUAUCGCCUUUGGAUGGGCCCGCGUUGGAUUAGCUAGUUGGUAGGGUAAAAGCCUACCAAGGCGACGAUCCAUAGCUGGUCUGAGAGGAUGAUCAGCCACACUGGGACUGAGACACGGCCCAGACUCCUACGGGAGGCAGCAGUGGGGAAUAUUGGACAAUGGGCGAAAGCCUGAUCCAGCAAGGCCGCGUGAGUGAUGAAGGCCUUAGGGUUGUAAAGCUCUUUUACCCGGGAUGAUAAUGACAGUACCGGGAGAAUAAGCUCCGGCGAACUCCGU